ACGCUCGACACCUACGGGAGGCCGCAGUGGGGAAUAUUGGGCAAUGGGCGAAAGCCUGACCCAGCAACGCCGCGUGAGGGAAGAAGGUUUUCGGAUUGAAACCUCUGUCCUCAGGGACGAAGGACGUGACGGUACCUGAGGAGGAAGCCCCGGCUAACUACGUGCCGGCAGCCGCGGUAAUCUGAGCGGGCUGGCAAGGC
rnacentral:rRNA from 1 species